UACGAAGGGGGCUAGCGUUGCUCGGAAUCACUGGGCGUAAAGCGCGUGUAGGCGGCCCGAUAAGUCCGCUGUGAAAGUCCAGGGCUCAACCCUGGAAUGCCGGUGGAUACUGUCGGGCUAGAGUCCGGAAGAGGCGAGUGGAAUUCCUGGUGUAGCGGUGAAAUGCGCAGAUAUCAGGAGGAACACCAAUGGCGAAGGCAGCUCGCUGGGACGUGACUGACGCUGAGACGCGAAAGCGUGGGGAGCAAACAGG
rnacentral:rRNA from 1 species